rnacentral:SRP_RNA from 1 species
AGCCGGGGUGUUAGCGGUACCUUGCACCAACAAUCCGCUUUAGUUGGGGUGAUGUCUCGUAGAGGAUUAUUCGGUGGUGAAGCCGCCCUUCAUAAGUGAUGUUGACGUCUGGGUCCUGCGCAACGGAAAUCCGUGAACCGGGUCAGGGUAGGAAUACAGCAGCCCUAAGCGGAACCUUUCGUGUGCCGCAGGGUCGCCUGGGCUGAGUUAACUGUGAAGGUAGCGUUCGUUGCUGAGAUUCGAAGCGAG